UAGAUGUGGGUCAUAUAGGAACAGUGAUAGAGAAAUAACAGUAAUCGCCCAAUCGGGAAUUUUGUCCUGACGGAAGUGGGGCCUACCUCAUUUUUCCCAACAAUUUGGCCCCAAUGUGAUAAUUAGUUAAUUACCAGUACUAUAGUAAAAUAAGUAAUUAAGGGGGGUGGCCGGGGACUGGGCCCCAAUAUAUUUGGAAAAAACGUAUAUGAUUGCUUGUGGCUGUAAGUUGUCAGUCAUGUAUAACAGAUGUGUGUUUAAAUUAUUGCAUUGAAAUUUUUGCCGUUAUCAUAUAGAUGUUCCUGCAACUAGUGUACCCUAUAAGAUAAAUCCUGCUAUUCAGCUGUAUUGAGAAAUUAUAUAGUAGCGUAGCUUAUAUAUUGUAAUCUUGUUGUAGUUAAUUAUCAUUCAAAUGCCAACUUGGUAUUAUGUUUUCUGAGGCUGUCAGGGUUGGUUUUAAACUUAUUAGUACUUUGAUUAUUCUCUCCUUACGCUUUGUCUGGUGUGUGUUAAAAAGCUAGCAAUACAUGGAGAUCAUGACAAUGUUUAGUGGCAAUAUAACAACACAUUACGAGUUCUGUGCUAGUCAUUUUAUGGUGGAUUAGAAAAUCCAAGUUGAUUGCUGUACUUAGAGUUAAUCAUUUUAAGAAUCUUCACUCAAUCUCAACAAGAACAUUUCAAGUCAGAGUGUACUGGAUAUAUUGAUGUGGUGAAACAAAAUUUGUAACUACUUCUGGUUUGGUCCUGUUUGUCUGUGUUUUGGUCUUUAGUUGCUAGCAUUUCUAACUUAGAAAACUUAACUCUGGAUUGUGUCAUGGUGAAACUGUUCUGGGAACCGGUCACCAUAUAAGUGCUGGUGCUGUAUCAUGCAUGUUUAUGCUCUUAUUAAUAGGCUAGAGCCUAAGUCUAAUGUAUCACACAUUCGCUUACUUUAUCAUGGGAAAAACUUCUUAAUGUUUAAAGACUUUGGGUUUGGAUAAUGCAAAUUUUGUUAUUUACAGUCUUUCCAAUUUUGAUUACAUUCUUAAAGUCCCGCAACUAGGAAUUAGAGCUCCUAGCCUCCAACAUUUUACAGUAUAUAAUGUUCUCAACACCAAACCACGAAAUAGUGUGGCCUUGCUGAUGUAGGAUUUUGAAUGGGCAAGAUAUGUUUUUUCCACUAGUGUUUCGUGAAUUGUUGGAUGUUAGACCUUAAAAACACUUGAACAAAUGUUGGUUUGAUAUUGUGAACUUGUAUUAGAACUUGUUUGUGAUUGACAUGGUUAUAUUUUGAUAUUGUGACAGUUGCUCUGAUGUUCCUAAGUUGAUCCUUUUUGGCUGAAUUUAAACAUGCAAUAUUAAACAUGAAUCUUAUGGUGUUCUUCUUUUUGGUAUUGCUGCAUAGAAAACGUCAUUUGAACAACAGAUGAUAAUUGCUAGAAAUAUCCAGAAAGGUCCAGCCAACCAAGUGAUAAGAUUGUGAGUUAUACAUUCCCCCGUUUAUAUAUCUCGGCAUAUAUGGAAAUUCAGCACACGGUAAUAACAGGGAUUUCAUCUCCUUAUACAAAUUCAGUUAAGAUGGGUUUUUUCCGGAUAAGGAGUUAAAUCAAAGAGAGCAAGAAGACUCUUUAGAUGAAGGUCUCCUUUCAGAAGUCAAUGCACAACUACGGCAAGCGAAAGAAGAUGUGGACAAUCCAGG